rnacentral:tmRNA from 1 species
GGGAAUGCAAAGGUUUCGACGGGUUGAAAGAUGUUUAAAGCAGCAUAUAGUGUUCUCAGCAAUCACUUAAAAAAGGUUGAAAAAAAUUAGUUGCCAACAACUACGCAAUGGCUGCCUAAUUAAGUCAGCCCGUUUUUUUGCAGGUUCAUUCCUGCCGAACAGCAAUUAAACGUAAGCCAGGCGGGAUAGUUUUUGAAUUUGCCUUUGGCUCAAAAAUGAAAAAUUUUAAAGGCUGGUAUUAAUUCGUUUGUCAGUUUAACGAAUUAAUAUGAGAUAAUUAAUCUGACUAAAUAUGUAGAAGCUUUAAUGGUCUUCUUCCCGGACCCGGGUUCGAUUCCCGGCAUUUCCACAA